rnacentral:pre_miRNA from 1 species
AAUAAGAUUAUUUUUUAGUUUUUUUCAUAUAAUGUUUUGGCUCUUCGUCUUAUUUGAAAUUUUUUUAUGAUUAAUAUUUUUAUUUUUACUAGAUGAUAAAAUAUAAAUAGUAAUGACUAUUUUUUUAAGUUUUUUACAAAUCUUUCAAAUAAAACGAAUGGUCAAAUGUUGGUCACGGAAAACGAAAAAUAAAGUUAUU